UACGUAGGGUGCGAGCGUUGUCCGGAAUUAUUGGGCGUAAAGAGCUUGUAGGCGGUUUGUCGCGUCUGCCGUGAAAAUCCGGGGCUCAACCCCGGACUUGCGGUGGGUACGGGCAGACUAGAGUGUGGUAGGGGAGACUGGAAUUCCUGGUGUAGCGGUGAAAUGCGCAGAUAUCAGGGGGAACACCGAUGGCGAAGGCAGGUCUCUGGGCCACUACUGACGCUGAGAAGCGAAAGCGUGGGGAGCGAACAGG
rnacentral:rRNA from 1 species